UGAUACUCGGCGCCUGGACCAUAUUUUGACAUUUGCAAUGUUUUUAUUGCAUGAAUCCACGCUUGGAUACUUUUGAAUACGAGCGCACAUUCAGAGAUGAGUCAUUUAUGUCAUUGUGCGUCAUUAUAAGUUUGUGCGAUACUACGUAGAUUCCCUUUCUGGUUGCAAACCAGAAACUUUGCAAAGCACCCGUAAUCGUGUAAACAAAACGUUGUGCUCCAGUGUAUGCAUAUAUACAGGGUCUUCCUCCAGCAACGUAGGUAAAGAGUUAUUACACUCAAUCACUUCAAUCAUGUUCAUAUUAACUGUUCUGGCACGAAAUAGUGAUUGGCUGAAGUUACUGCUACAGUCAGUACUACCUCCCACCACAAACAACAACACUGCCAUCACCACUAACUAAAACAGCAACACUAAUAAUGGUUAAUAAUGGACGGGUUGUGGUUUUUUUGACCACACCUCUUAAUACAAGAAAUAUGUGGGCGCUAAAAAGGGUAUAAAAGAUCCCGUACCUGCUAACCUUUAACCAUUCAAGGUCAGAAUGGGCAAGACAUAUUUAAUUGGUAAUAAGCAGAUGCUUUUAACUCGCAUUGUGAUUUAAUUUAUUAUUGUCCGUGAAAUCAAAUGUCUUUAAAUUUAAACUUCUUUCUUUUUCGUUUUGCAGGUCACAUCAUUGUUAUUCUCGGGGUUUGCCUCUCCACGUGGGCCACGAGAUCUCGCGAAGACUGUCUAAGACAUAUGUACAAUGACUCCAUGAAUUUGAUACGGCAUUUUAAUAAGGUGAACUGCAGCGGGUCACUAGAGCCUCCUCUGGGCAAGAGCCAUCAUAGAAGAAACAUCACAAGUAAUGAGACGUUUGGAGCCCAACACAAGUGUAUAUUCAAGUGGUCGGUGUGCCCCCAAGAUCCUGGAAAUGAUGAAGAGAUGCGUGUAAUUAAUAAUAUACGGUGUGAUCUGCAGCAGAGCAGAGAGAGUAAGGAAUGUGAAUGGAAGAUCCAAAGACCCAAAACUCCGUCAAAACUACAAUUUUUAUAUUGCUGGUGUCGGUUUCUCAAUGCCAACCCAGAUGCUUAGUGGGGCUUGUGGAUACUGUGUUCCGCAAGAAUACUUGUUUAAAACCUUAUCUAUAUAUUCACAUUCAGCACAAUGUUUAAAGAAUAUUUAUUCUAAGUACUAAUGAUCAAUGUGAUUUGUUUUACAUUUGUAUUUCAAUAGAGGACUCUGCUCUUUGUAGUUACUAUUACCUUACUACAAGAAGUAUCACAAGAGAUGUGGCAGAUACUGUAAUAAUGUAAA